GACAGAGGGUGCAAACGUUGUUCGGAAUUACUGGGCGUAAAGCGCGUGUAGGCGGCCCUGCAAGUCGGAUGUGAAAUCCCACGGCUCAACCGUGGAAGUGCAUUCGAAACUGCAGGGCUAGAGUCCUGGAGAGGCGAGUGGAAUUCCGAGUGUAGAGGUGAAAUUCGUAGAUAUUCGGAAGAACACCAGUGGCGAAGGCGACUCGCUGGACAGACAUUGACGCUGAGGUGCGAAAGCGUGGGGAGCAAACAGG
rnacentral:rRNA from 1 species